rnacentral:rRNA from 1 species
UACGUAGGGUGCGAGCGUUGUCCGGAAUUACUGGGCGUAAAGAGCUCGUAGGUGGUUUGUCGCGUUGUCCGUGAAAACUCACAACUCAAUUGUGGGCGUGCGGGCGAUACGGGCAGACUGGAGUACUGCAGGGGAGACUGGAAUUCCUGGUGUAGCGGUGGAAUGCGCAGAGUAUCAGGAGGAACACCGAUGGCGAAGGCAGAUCUCUGGGCCGUAACUGACGCUGAGGAGCGAAAGCGUGGGGAGCGAACAGG